UACAGAGGUCUCAAGCGUUGUUCGGAUUCAUUGGGCGUAAAGGGCGCGUAGCGGUGGGGUAAGUCUGGUGUGAAAUCUCGGAGCUCAACUUCGAAAUUGCACUGGAUACUGCUCUGCUAGAGGGCUGGAGAGGAGAUCGGAAUUCACGGUGUAGCAGUGAAAUGCGUAGAUAUCGUGAGGAAGACCAGUGGCGAAGGCGGAUCUCUGGACAGCUCCUGACGCUGAGGCGCGAAGGCUAGGGGAGCAAACGGG
rnacentral:rRNA from 1 species